rnacentral:lncRNA from 1 species
GCGGCGGGCUCGGGAAGUGGCGGGGACGAUGCGGCUCGUCGAGGCAGAGACGGGGAUGGGGUCGGCGAGGCUCGGGGACAGCGGCGUUGACGCCUAGGACGACGCGAAGGCGGCGGGCGACGGCGGAGCUCUAGGUUCACAUCGGCGAGGUGCUGCGGUGCGCGAAAAAGAAAAGGAAGUGCAUCAGGGGAUGCGCGAGGGAGAGGGGAGAAGAGAUAUGCGGCGAGGAUUACUCACCGAGUUCGUCGGCGGCGACCAAAAAUCGCGGCGGCGUCCGUGCGGCUCCGGCGAGCAAUUCCGACGGCGUGGUCACGCAAUAGGCUGGGGAGGCAAGGGGGAAGAAGAGGGCCUUUUCUCUUUUGAUUUUUUCCUUUUAGCCUUUUCUCUUUUUUUCUUUUUCUGUAAAUCCUUUGUAACUUUUGAUUUUGAACUCUAAAUUGGUCCAAAUAAAUUCCAAAAAAUUUGAAAAAUCAUGUUUUAUCAUGAUUCAACUUUUGGGAGUAAUUUCCCUUCAAAAUAAAAUAUAUAAAAAUACAUUUGCCCUCUAAAUGCCUUUAGGGCUAUAUAACUAUUUAAAUAAAAUAGUUUUCAACUCCAAAUAAAAUCUUAAAAAUUAUGGGAUAGCUCAUUUAUGCAAUAAACCCCAUUUAUAGAUAAACCCUAUUGGUUUUAAGAUCCAAAGCUCAAAUGGGUGAAACCCUAGGGUUUAAAAUGAAAUAAAACCUUUUUAAGGCCUUUUGAGAUUCAAAUUUGAAUUCAAAUAUGCAAUUGUGGCAUGAUGCUCAUGGAUGCAAUGCAUAUGAAAGAGUUUGAAAUUUUGGAAUGUUACAGACCUAACCCUCUUAAGAUGAAUCUCGUCCUCGAGAUUCGGUUUGGCUAGCAAAGAGGUGCGGGUGGUUUUCUCGAAGAUCAUCUUUGCGUUCCCAUGUGGCUUCCUCUUCAGUAUGGUGGUCCCACUGAACUUUGCAGAAUUUGAUGGUCUUGGAUCGGGUAUGUCUCUCAGCUAUAUCCAAGAUUCUGAUCGAUUUCUCCUCAUAGGUGAGAUCACUUUGCAGCUGGACUUCCUCUAACGGUAUCGUGUCCUUCAGUGGUGUGU